rnacentral:tRNA from 1 species
AAAGAGUUAGUUUAAAAUAAAACAUAGCUUUGUCAAAGCUAAAAUAUUAAUAUAUGAUACCCUUUA